AUUGAACGCUGGCGGCAGGCCUAACACAUGCAAGUCGAGCGAGCGGCGGACGGGUGAGUAAUGUCUGGGAAACUGCCUGAUGGAGGGGGAUAACUACUGGAAACGGUAGCUAAUACCGCAUACCAUCAGAUGUGCCCAGAUGGGAUUAGCUAGUAGGUGGGGUAAUGUCUCACCUAGGCGACGGUCCCUAGCGGGUCUGAGAGGAUGACCAGCACCAUGGGAACGAGGACACGGUCCAAACGCCUACGGUAGGCAGCAGUGGGGAAUAUUGCACAUUGGGCGCAAGCCGGAUGAAGCCAGGCCGCGUGUGUGAAGAAGGCCUUCGGGUUGUAAAGCACUUUCAGCGGGGAGGCGUUACCCGCAGAAGAAGCACCGGCUAACUCCGUGCCAGCAGCCGCGGUAAUAC
rnacentral:rRNA from 1 species